GCUAGGAAGAGGAAGAAAGAGAGGGCGUAAGAGCACUGGGAAUGAGAACAUAGAGGAAACCUAACUUACUAGUUCUUCACCACUUGUCUUGAGGUGGCAAUUCAGUUUGCCACUUUCCAAUGCCUCUCAUUCCUCUUCUUCUUAGGCGUUCCUUCCUCUUCCUUUUUGUU
rfam:Triticum aestivum genome assembly, contig: Triticum_aestivum_CS42_TGACv1_scaffold_129300_2BL